rnacentral:lncRNA from 1 species
CGCACGUUGAGAGGAGCGCACGUUGAGAGGAGCGCACGUUGAGAGGAGCGCACGUUGAGAGGAGCGCACCGGAGAAAGAACACACAAGCUGCUGGACAGUGAGAGGAACACACUGGCGGAAGAGCACACAGGGAGCUGGAUGUCGCGGGGAGCGGAAGAGCACAGCGACAGGCACUGGUGUCGACCAGAGGAACGACGUGGAGUUUGGCCUGGGAGGUCAGAGAAGAAUUUGGCUGCUGGGCAGCCCCACUAUAGGGGAAAACUACUUUCCCACUCCAUUCCCCUUCUGAUCUCCCCAUCCACCUCGCUGAGAGCUACCACAACUCAAUAAAAAACCUCGCACUCGAUCGCCAAGCCCACAUGUGAUCCAAUUUUUCCCGUGCACUAAAGCAAGAACCUGGGAUACACAAAGCCGUCUGUCCUUGUGAUAAGGCAGAGGGUAUAAUUGAGCUGAUUAACACAAGCCACCUGCGGACAGCUAAGCUGAAAAAGCAUCCUGUAACACACGCCUACGGGGGCCUCAGGAGGUGUAAACAUUCACCCCGAGAGGCUGCAUGGGUCCGCGCCCAUGGUCCCCAUGACUUGCCUGUUUGCCUGCUCUGGCUAAGGGUCUUGACCAGUGGGGCACUGAAGAAGCGAGCCACACCCCCAUCGUACGCCCUGCGAGGAGGGUCUCACUCAGUGACCCAGGCUGAAUGCAGUGGAACAAUCAUGGCUUACUGUAGCCUUGACCUUGAGGGCUUAAGCAAUCCUGCCACCUCAGCCUGCCUAGUACUGGGACUACAGGUACGCGCCACCACGCCCAAAACAUCAAAUAUAUUCAGCUCCCGUCUCUCUUCAACCAUGUAAAAUUAUUUCAAUAACUAUGAGCAAUUGAAGGUGAAACUGGCAUGUCUGUUUGUUCUUCUCUUCCUGGUGUCAAAGACUCUUAAAGAGCUCCAUUUGAUUGAUCCAUUCAGACAGCAUUCAUUGAAUAUUGGAGGAACAGGACUCAGAUACAGCCUUCCAGAAGCUCACUUUCCUGCAGAGAAAAAAAUGGGAACACAUAUGAUGACCCUUCAACGUGAUGAGUACUGUGUCCCAAAGUGCUGAGAGAACUCCUCAGAUGGGUCCCUAAUUGAGCCUAGCAGCUGUGGAGAGUGAAGUGAUACAUGGACAGAUGGUUAAAGCUGAGCCAAGAUUUAAAGUACAAUUAAAAAGUUAAUCAGACACUAUGACAAGUCUUCUUAUUUUUUUCCAAUGAUUUUAAAAUAAAAUUUGGAGUCGCUCACAUAAAAGCACAGAUAAUUAGAGAUAAAGAAAAUGUUCUUUUCUUUGUUUGGAUUUCACAAUUGUCAUGCAAAA